CUUGGGUACACACCUCUCUCAAAGACAGAAAUAUCCAUGCUGGGCAAAGGUUGGGAGAGGCUAUUGAAAUAGGUUUCCUGAUUCUGCCCUGAUGCCAAGAGUCACCUUUUCUGACCCUUCUGGUGAUACUGAUGCGCUUAGGUCCAUUGCGCAGUCUCCAAGACAUACUGCAAUUCCAUCAGUAUGCCAGGAAAGUUUGUGCCAUAACGGAGGGACUUGUCAUUUCAUCAUUCUAUCUAAUGGUGCUGCAUCAUUUCAGUGUGACUGCCCAUUACAUUUCACUGGACGAGCCUGUGAGAAAGAGUUUGAAGCCCUCUGUAAAUAUCAACUUGAUAAUGUUUCAGAGUUCCUUCUGCGGCAGGUGAGUGGGAAGAAUUAGUCCAUCUUUCAGGGAGAACCUGAAUUGUAAGACUGAAGUCAAUUGCUGCAAAUCAUGAUGAGUCUCCGGUGAAUCUCAACAAGUGCUAUUUGGUGACAGUGAUGAAGCCAAGGUUUAGUAUUCUAUUCACCACAUCACACUUACCUUUGUGAAGGAAAACAGGUACUUCCAGCUAUGGCCUGCUGGUAUUAAGAAUGCAUGGAAUGAUUUAUUCUCCCAAGACUGGCUUUUUGUCUGUAGCAUAAACCUCCUGCUCCUUUUUGGAUUUCCUGUAACCCCCUUGGUAUAGAAAAGUCUCCUUUCAGCCUAAAGCUUUCUGCCAUUAUUCCAAGACCUUUUUGACAAACAGAAACUACUUCCUAGUCUUAUAAGCUAACAAAUAUCAAACUGUAGAAAUAGUACCUGGGUAAAGAAUAAUGCAAAUGUGAGGAAGGAAAUAUAGCAAGCAGAAAAGGAAUCAAUUAUUAAAGUAGAAUUGUAAGUGAAAAAUGACAAGGUCUCAGAUUCUAAACAACUACAUGCAUAUGUAGAGAGAGCUAUAGAUAGGCCCUUUGUGAUUAAAGAGGAUACUACUGAUGGGGAGAGCCUAUGUAAGCAUGCAGAUGUUCAAAUUGUAUACAAAUAAAGGCA